GCCAAGGCAUACUGAAUGAGAAAGUUAUAGCAAGCUCCUCCUUCAGGCUGCAAAAUUCACCAGAGAUCAGAGAAUUGGAAUAACAAUGAGUUUAUCGCGGCUAUAACAGCAAAGGUUGUUACUACCUGGCAACCAGUUAAGCGAUAAAGAAGUUGUUGUAAUGCUGGGAGCUGCUCUAAAAGUUCUUCUCCAUUCAAAAGCCUAGUUCUACAAUGCACCUGAUGUGAAACUCAGGUUUGCUUGAUCUUUCUGCAACAAUAUCAUUUUUCAUUGUCCUAAAACACUCUAGUCUUUCCUCCAGAAAGAGCGCAUAUGUACGUACCCAAGCUGAGCAAUCCCAACCUGUGUUUAAAACACAAUACAAUUACAAUACUA